AGAGUUUGAUCCUGGCUCAGGAUGAACGCUAGCGGCAGGCUUAACACAUGCAAGUCGAGGGGCAUCGGGAGGGAAGCUUGCUUUCCUUGCCGGCGACCGGCGCACGGGUGAGUAACACGUAUGCAACCUGCCCUCUUCAGGGGGACAACCUUCCGAAAGGGAGGCUAAUCCCGCGUAUAUCGGUUUCGGGCAUCCGAGAUCGAGGAAAGAUUCAUCGGAAGAGGAUGGGCAUGCGGCGCAUUAGCUUGACGGCGGGGUAACGGCCCACCGUGGCGACGAUGCGUAGGGGUUCUGAGAGGAAGGUCCCCCACACUGGUACUGAGACACGGACCGGACUCCUACGGGAGGCAGCAGUGAGGAAUAUUGGUCAAUGGGAGAGAUCCUGAACCAGCCAAGCCGCGUGAGGGAAGACGGCCCUAUGGGUUGUAAACCUCUUUUGUCGGAGAACAAAACCCGGGACGUGUCCCGGACUGCGUGUAUCCGAAGAAAAAGCAUCGGCUAACUCCGUG
rnacentral:rRNA from 1 species